AGAGUUUGAUCCUGGCUCAGAACGAACGCUGGCGGCAGGCCUAACACAUGCAAGUCGAGCGCGCUUUCGGGUGAGCGGCGGACGGGUUAGUAACGCGUGGGAACGUGCCCUUCUCUACGGAAUAGCCUCUGGAAACGGAGAGUAAUACCGUAUACGCCCUUUGGGGGAAAGAUUUAUCGGAGAAGGAUCGGCCCGCGUUAGAUUAGGUAGUUGGUGGGGUAACGGCCUACCAAGCCUACGAUCUAUAGCUGGUUUUAGAGGAUGAUCAGCAACACUGGGACUGAGACACGGCCCAGACUCCUACGGGAGGCAGCAGUGGGGAAUCUUAGACAAUGGGGGCAACCCUGAUCUAGCCAUGCCGCGUGAGUGAUGAAGGCCUUAGGGUCGUAAAGCUCUUUCGCCUGUGAUGAUAAUGACAGUAGCAGGUAAAGAAACCCCGGCUAACUCCGUGCCAGCAGCCGCGGUAAUACGGAGGGGGUUAGCGUUGUUCGGAAUUACUGGGCGUAAAGCGCGCGUAGGCGGAUUAGAAAGUUGGGGGUGAAAUCCCGGGGCUCAACCCCGGAACUGCCUCCAAAACUGCUAGUCUAGAGUUCGAGAGAGGUGAGUGGAAUUCCGAGUGUAGAGGUGAAAUUCGUAGAUAUUCGGAGGAACACCAGUGGCGAAGGCGGCUCACUGGCUCGAUACUGACGCUGAGGUGCGAAAGUGUGGGGAGCAAACAGGAUUAGAUACCCUGGUAGUCCACACCGUAAACGAUGAAUGCCAGUCGUCGGGUAGUAUACUAUUCGGUGACACACCUAACGGAUUAAGCAUUCCGCCUGGGGAGUACGGUCGCAAGAUUAAAACUCAAAGGAAUUGACGG
rnacentral:rRNA from 1 species